AUGGCGAACUCGAGGGCCUUUGCUCUGGUGCCCCUCCUCAUCUGCGUCUUGUCCUGCCACGCCGCCGUCUCCUACGCGGCAGCGCCGGUGCCGGCCAAGGAGGACUUCUUCGGAUGUCUGGUGAAGGCGAUACCGGCCCGCCUCCUCUACGCCAAGAGCUCGCCUGCCUUCCCCACCGUCCUGGCGCAGACCAUCAGGAACUCGCGGUGGUCGUCGCCGCAGAACGUGCAGCCGCUCUACAUCAUCACCCCCACCAACGCCUCCCACAUCCAGUCCGCGGUGGUGUGCGGCCGCCGGCACGCCGUCCGCCUCCGCGUGCGGAGCGGCGGCCACGACUACGAGGGCCUGUCGUACCGGUCCGAGCGCCCCGAGGAGUUCGCCGUCGUCGACCUCAACAAGAUGCGGGCCGUGUCGGUCGACGUCAAGGCUCGCACGGCGUGGGUGGACUCCGGUGCGCAGCUCGGCGAGCUCUACUACACCAUCGCCAAGAACAGCCCCGUGCUCGCGUUCCCGGCGGGUGUUUGCCCCACCAUCGGUGUAGGCGGCAACUUCGCUGGCGGCGGCUUCGGCAUGCUGCUGCGCAAGUACGGCAUCGCCGCCGAGAACGUCAUCGACGUGAAGGUGGUCGACGCCAACGGCACGCUGCUCGACAAGAGCUCCAUGAGCGCGGACCACUUCUGGGCCGUCAGGGGCGGCGGCGGAGAGAGCUUCGGCAUCGUGGUGUCGUGGCAGGUGAAUCUCCUCCCGGUGCCUCCCACCGUGACCGUGUUCCAGAUCCCCAAGACGGUGAGAGAAGGUGCCGUAGAGCUCGUCAACAAAUGGCAGCUGGUCGGGCCGGCCCUUCCCGACGACCUCAUGAUCCGCAUCAUCGCUUUCGGCGACACCGCCAAGUUCGAGGGCAUGUACCUGGGCACCUGCAAAACCCUGACGCCACUGAUGACCAGCAAAUUCCCCGAGCUGGGCAUGAACGCCUCGCACUGCAACGAGAUGCCCUGGAUCAAGUCCGUCCCCUUCAUCCACCUCGGCAAGCAGGCCACCCUCUUCGACCUCCUCAACCGCAACAACACCUUCAAGCCCUUCGCCGAGUACAAGUCGGACUACGUCUACCAGCCCGUGCCCAAGACCGUGUGGGCGCAGAUCUUCGUCUGGCUCGUAAAACCCGGAGCGGGGAUCAUGAUCAUGGACCCCUACGGCGCCGCCAUCAGCGCCACCCCCGAGGCGGCCACGCCGUUCCCUCACCGCAUGGGCGUCCUCUUCAACAUCCAGUACGUCAACUACUGGUUCGACGAGGCAGGCGGCGCCGCGCCUCUGCAGUGGAGCAAGGACAUGUACAGGUUCAUGGAGCCGUACGUGAGCAAGAACCCCAGGCAGGCGUACGCCAACUACAGGGACAUCGACCUCGGCAGGAACGAGGUGGUCAACGACGUCUCCACCUACGCCAGCGGCAAGGUGUGGGGCGAGAAGUACUUCAAGGGCAACUUCCAAAGGCUCGCCAUCACCAAGGGCAAGGUGGAUCCUCAGGACUACUUCAGGAACGAGCAGAGCAUCCCGCCGCUACUGGCCAAGUAA
rnacentral:rRNA from 1 species